GGUACGAAAGUGCAUUUUAUGAGCAGUAAAAUGUUCAUUAUGUAACUCAGAAUGCUUGUUCAGUUUAUAUGUUGUUCCUGAAUUAUGAAAUGUUUAGUACCACAAAAUGACCGCUCUUAAAAUGAUUCAUGUUUCUUUAAAUCCUCCAUUUUGCUGAUAAUUUGAGACGUCUUUCGCCCGUGGCGGAGCUGAAACUGUGUCUCUCUCAUUGAUAUACAGCACCAGAGCCGAAGCUUUGUUGAGUCGGGUAUUUCCAGAUGGCUCACAAAAGACUCAAUUGACUCGCUCCUCUAAUGUGUUAAAGCGUUUGCUCCCACAUGACAAAUUCAAAGGGGGGAAAAAACCAGCCUCUCAAGCAUGUAAAAAAAAAAAAAAGUAAAAGAUGAAAUAUUAAACAGAUUUUCUCUUUCACUGUUGAUUUUUGUGCAUUUAGUUUCUCACCCUUUCUACAGAUGCAGCACCACAUGCCAUUUAAAUCAGUUGUGCCAAGGCCUCAUCUCAUUUGUACUCGAACCUUAUCGGAGUGCUUGUUUAUACAUAAAGUUUGUCUCUUACAGAUACACUUACAUCAUGUCUUGCUGUCUUAUGCAGUGGAGUCUGGAGCUUCGCCAGCAUGCAGUGAACCAGAGAAGUGGAGAGACGUCCCAGCGGCCCACAGCUCUGACAACACCCUUCUAUCCCCCUCUGAAAUCUUUAUUUACUGCCCCCGCACUACUGCUCCCUCGCUGGGGCAAUUAAAGCAUCGUUGUGUCAGACGGUGAGGCGGCGCACCUUUAUGAGGAGUGUCUGUGAAAUAAAGUCAAACAGGACUGUGGAAUGACACAAGGAAAACCAUCCCGGCUAGUCCAAACAUGGGAGCGAUUCUCAGAUUUCAGACCCCCACCUUGUCUUUUGUGCCGAGUUCAGUGAGGCUCCUGCAUCCCGACCAACCCGACACAGCAACAUCAGAUCAACCAAUGGGAUGACUCUUGGAAUCAGACAGCGGUUAAACUUUCACGCCGAAGACGUGCAGACGUGAUCGCCAGAAUGUCGCACCUGAUUCCUGAGCCCAGAGGAGAAUUUUAGCGCUCAGAUGUUGCUCUUUCAAGGCUCCAGAGACUUGAAGGCAUCAUGAAAUUUACAUUAUUUACUUUUGCAAUGCAUGUCUGUGGUCUCAUCGUGCAUGAUUCAUCAGUACAUGCUGUUUGAAAGGACAAAAAGGUUUGUCACUCGUAAAUACGUCACAUUACAGAUGCAAUACGGUCGUAAAGGGCAUUUCAAAUGUUUCAUUGAAGUGUCAGAAAAUGCCUUUGGAAGAAAACUCAAAAUGCAGACGUCUGUUGAGUUCAGAUUGAGUUCAAAACUGUUUGAGACAUUGUUGAGAUCUCUUCUGAAACGCUCUUCAUGCAUAAACAAUGUUUCAGAUGUUUAUCCUAAAAGUACUAAGGAAAAUUAAGAUGCACACAAAUGAGUGUGAGAGGCAUGUGAGAAUGAGAGGCAUGUGAGAUCAUUGUUGGUUUUAUGAUUUAAGUCUCUUAAUUUAAUCUCAUUUCUGUCAUUUGUGAUUUUCUUUAUUACAGAAAAGCACUUCCAAACUGAAUUUCUCACAGGUUGCUCAUUCAUAUCUCAAAAGACCUAUUGGAAAUCCUAGUUAUAUUUCAUGAAAGUCCAUCUGUGCCGAAUUGCUCACAAGUUGCUCAUUCACAGCUCAAAUAAGGUUAUGUAGAUCCUAAUGCAAGUUUGCAAGCAUGCAAGUGUGUUUCAUGAAAAUUAUGGGUUUUUAUGCAUGUUUCAUGCAAAUACAAAAAUACAAAAAAAACAUUAAAUAUAUAAUAUAAAUAUUGCCUAAAAUAUAAAAAUACACACAAAUGAGUUGAAUUCAUAAUGAGAUUGAUAACAGACUUUGGUAUCUUGAUAUAUCUGAGUACAGUUUGAGACAUUGUUGUGAUCUCUUUUGCAAGAUGCAUGUGAGAUUUAUGUUGUUUUAUGAUUUAAGUAUCCAUUUGCUCUCGAUUUGUGGAUUUUUACAGGAAAGCCCAUCCAAACGGAAUUGAGCACAGGUUGCUCAUUCAUGACUCAAAAGUCCAAAUAGAGAUCCUAAUUAUGUUUCAUUUAAGUAUCAACUUGGUUUCAGAUGUUUCUUCUAAAAUUCCUUUGAAUAAAAAUAAAUCAGUCAAUACUCAAGUACAGAGCUAUAAAAUGAACAUGGACAGCGUAGUUCAAAUCAUAUGGUCUCUGAAUAUUUUGAUGAGAAAUGUUGGAGUUCACAUUGAGAUCUUCUGUGCAGGUGCCAUUCGGUUUUGGCACUUCCUUCCCGCGCCCAAGUAUCCAGCCGCAUGAUGGAUGAAGCAAGCGAAUUGCAGUGUGCAGUAUUUUGCCGCAGUUGAUUGCAAACUGACUCCGGGUAACAUAAUUAUUUACACUGACACAAUAAUGUAAAAUGAUUAACAUCCGCUCAUAUUCAUACCCAUAUAAAUCACUGGCCCACGUCGAGUUCAUCAUUCGGGGAGGGCCAGCGUCUCGCCCUGAGAUUGGAUGGCGGCCAGAUAAGAAGAGUAUUAAUCGUGGAGAAUAUGCCGCAUGGUCGUUUAAAACUUCGAGAAAAGAGAGGCCCUGGCAGAGUGUUUGGCAGAGCGAUGGUUUCUGGCUCCAGCGGGCAGCGCUCAAGAUGGAUUACCACCCUCCAAACGUCCACGUCCGCACCUGACUUCUCAACAUAGAUGUCCUACCUGUGCAUGAAAUAGGGCUUGACCGGCCAACAUGCACUUUUUCUACCCCUUUCUCCCCCAAAAUGAGAAUUACUGCUGGGAGGCUCUGGACAAUUUUAUGUAGGGCUGGAGAACAAAAAUCAAUAUUUAAUUAUCUGUGAGCGUUUGGUGUCACUACAUCUUUAGAUCUGUAGGGUGGAGUGGACAGGGUCACCGGGCCGGUAAGUGAGUCCGUCAGUGACGAGGCCGUCUCGUCCCAAGGCUCCGAUUGGCCUGUCUUCAAUCACCACAAGAGUGAUGACUGAUAAGUCAUUUAUUCGUCGACCUGUGUGUUUGGAGAAGGCCACCUUAAGAAUGAGCCUGCGUGACAUGCGUACAGUACGCUUGAAGUUAAAUAUGGUUUUGACCUAUCAGAAAUAUGGCUUAAAUGCCCCACCUAGAGGUAGGAUGGGACACUUACUGCUUUGGUGGGUGGAAUCCAAAGCAUGCAUGUUGAGAGGAGUGUGAAUUCAUUUUAGUAACCAAAGAGCGGAGCAUAAUACUUGUCAGUAUUUUAUUAUUUCCCAAUUUUAAUCAGAAAUAGGAAACAUGCCUGUUCAGUUAAGGACCAUUUGAUUCACAGUGGGCUCCCAAAGUCUGAGAU